UACGAAGGGGGCUAGCGUUGUUCGGAAUUACUGGGCGUAAAGGGCGCGUAGGCGGCGUGUCAAGUCAGGCGUGAAAGCCCCGGGCUCAACCUGGGAACCGCGCUUGAGACUGGCAUGCUCGAGUUCGGGAGAGGAUGGUGGAAUUCCCAGUGUAGAGGUGAAAUGCGCAGAUAUCAGGAAGAACACCCGUGGCGAAGGCGGCUCUCUGGGACGGUACUGACGCUGAGACGCGAAAGCGUGGGGAGCGAACAGG
rnacentral:rRNA from 1 species